UACAGAGGUGGCAAGCGUUGUUCGGAAUUACUGGGCGUAAAGGGCGCGUAGGUGGCCUUCUUAGUCAGACGUGAAAUCCCCAGGCUUAACCUGGGAACUGCGUCUGAUACUGGAAGGCUCGAGUUCGGGAGAGGAAUGUGGAAUUCCAGGUGUAGCGGUGAAAUGCGUAGAUAUCUGGAGGAACACCGGUGGCGAAGGCAGCCCCCUGGGCUAACACUGACGCUCAGGCACGAAAGCGUGGGGAGCAAACAGG
rnacentral:rRNA from 1 species